AUUAUAAGAAAAUUUUGAAAUCUAAACUAUGUCUAUUCAUUUUCAGUGAUCAAUGAAGUAGAAGCCAUAUUGGAGUCAAACAAAACCAAAAAGAUUGUUGUUAUACCACUGAAAGAACUAACAAAAGAUGAAUUUGUUGAAAAUUAUAUGACCAAGAUCAAGUCUAG